ACCCCCGUUCGCCUCAGCGACUUCCGCCCUGCUGGGUCCGCCAGCGAAACCCUUCCGCCUCUUCCGGCGGCCCCGCCAUCAGCUCCGCGUUUCCCCCCGGAGCUGCGACACUGAGCACGGCGGGCGGGGAAGGGAACGAGCUGUCGGAAGCGCCCCUCAGGGCAGGGCCGCCAUCUUGGGGCUGGCGUCUCUGGCGCUGUGGGCCGAGUCAGAGCGUUAUGAAUUAUUCAUGCAAUUAAUUUUGCACCGGUUCCAUACUGAGUUGAUGGAGCUGGUCAGACUGCAGCCUUGUUAUUCUGUUAAAAAAUAUGAUCCUGCUGAAGAGGAAGACAGCACCCACAAGGACUGGCUUGGAGCAGUAACACCUCUAGUGAGCUGCAGUCUCACCUGCUUUUCUGGUUCUGCACUGGCCAGGUCUGGCCAAGGAGCAUUCCAUGGCCUUGUUGUGCCAAGACACAACCAGCAGUAUUGCCAAAAUAAAGUCAACAGAAUUAACUCCUUAAGCAAACAAACUUUGCUUUCUGCUCCUCAUUGAGGAGUUUUGCUGAUUCUUCCUGUUUCCUUCUUCUUUGUAACUUCUGCCAUAAUAACAGGAUUCCUCAGACAUUAUUUUUGGCCAGGUGACUGUUCAGUGCCUUACACCACCUCCAACUGUUGCUACAGGCCUGUUUCAUUCAAUACUAGUCCUUUCUAAAGUCCAUCAAGUAUACACAAGACUUGAGUUCUGCCUGGAAAGUUCAUAGCUCAGACUGAAGCCAGGAAGGAGCAAAAAGCUGCUUUUAUAUUCCAGCCAAGGAUACAUUAGGAGUCUACAGCUUAAAUAUUCAUGAAACUAUAAAAAGCACAAAUACCUUCAAGAGUUUUUCACGGUGAGCUGGAACAUCAGUGUCCACAGCUGGUUGAGGAGAGGGGUGUCAGUCUUGAAGGCAGUUUCCUUUAGGCCCUCUGGAUGUUCAGGAAUAUCAGAGAAAUCCAGAUACACAGAAAAACAAAAACACACACACAAAAAUGGACUUUUUGAAAACAUUGCUGUUCUCAUGUCCCUCCUCACUCAGUUGUGACCUGCUAGCUCCAGAGCCUGCAGCCCCUAGAUCCACACUCCCACAGGCAUUAGCCACGUUGGAGCACUUGGAAGCCCAGGAAAUGAACCCAGUUUAGUCCCAGGCAGAGGCAUGUGGGCAGCGAUGGAGUGUGUCCCUUCCACUGUGCGCAGAGUGAGCAGAAUGGAUCAAGUCAACUGAGGUGGGUCCCUUUUCAGCACUCACAGUGAGAACAAGGCUGGUUCCCUGCUCUGGACAUUGGCUUGGACUUUAAAGACCUGAUUCAGUUCCCUGCUGUGCUGCAAGUCCCAUCCCCUCAUUUUCCCUUUCACCAGGGCUGGAUCCAGCAACACAAAGCUGUAAAGUGCCUGGAUUGAUUUGGCUGAUCUGGUGGAAAGCCCUUCAGUUUUAGCUACAGUGUUAGUUUUCUGCUGGCUCAGCAGUCUGAACACACUCACCUGCUGGCUGCUGCCUCACUGAGCAGAGUGAGAACAUGGCCAAGGACAAAAGUGGGCAGGACCACCCCUUUUGGCAGACUCACUGAUCAUUUUAGCUGCAGCACAGAGCCCUCGGCUGCUGCUGUCACAAAUACAUUCCCAGUUAACCACUCCAGUGACAGUAAACAGAGAACUACCCUGUACAGAAAUUAUGUUUCACUCUCUGGUGAUUGUUUCCUUCUAAUGCACUAAAACAUCCUCAGCUAAUGCCCUAAUAAGAUUUUGCAGGUAUAAAGUGUAUGGAUGGCUCAGGAAUGGAGAGACAUUAUAAUGGGAGAACUUUAUGGAAGACAGAAAACAAAUCUAAUGAAUUUGUUAUUCCUCAGAAACAUUGUGAAAGACAAUGAUGCAUUGCAAAGUACUUCUCAAGAGCCCAGGAGUUGCCAGUACUGUUUUCUCCCCCAGAUAAAAAGUUUCUUUUACUCAGUUUCUGAGAGAGAAACUUCAGCAUCAGGAAUCUGAAGGACAUUCAGAGGGUCUGCCACUGCUUUUCGGAACAGGCUGUACUGGUGAAGGACAGUGGUGGCCUGUAAGGAAGGUGUUCCUUUGAUCCCAUGUUGAAGCUAUAUGUUAAGGAUGGGAGUUUCCCUUCAGUGAAUGUACAAUUUGUCACUGCUGUUGUCUCAUCAGGACCACCCCGGGAGAGGCCUGGGGAACUGGCUGUGCUCACAGCGCAGCUGCAGAGACAUUGUACUCUCCAGUUAUCUUACACAGGCUUGUUGUGUUCCCAGCUCCCUCUGCUUUCAUCCUGUUAUGAAAGGGAAAAAAGAGUGGGUACUUCUUGCCAAGGUGCAAGCCAGAAAGAUGAAGCUAAGAGGCUCUGAAUAAAUCAGGUGUGUUUGUCA
ensembl:lncRNA